rnacentral:lncRNA from 1 species
CACUUCUGUAUCCCAGCCAAGAAAACUGCAUAGAGGGGCCCAUGCAGUCAACCAGGAAUUGACCACAACUCGGUGGCAUCCAACAACAAAAAUAUUCAUCAUGCAGGUUGUCAAAGCUUUUUAAUACACGGAUAAGCCUCUUCCUUAAGAAAUAAAAACUGUUUUCACAAACGCGGUCAAGUUUAAGAAUAAACCAGCUCCUGCCAGAUCAAAAGNAAAGCCAAAAAGACGACAGGAGCUGCAGGAAAUCCAGAACUUCUGAAAUAAAUGGUGGAAACAAAGCGAGGAAAGCCGGAGGAGGGGGGUUGGAGCCCCCCCAAAACGGGUCUGUUUUAGGCCAACUAGGUUCUUUGUAAAAAUAGCGCCCUGCUCUAUAAUGGGGGNAGAGACAGGAAAAAGAAAAAGGGAAGCCCUCGAUUUCCACAGCCCUGCUGCUACUGAAAGUCUGGGCAAGCGUGAAUUCAGGAANUGCGUGCAGAAAUGGAAAGCAGCUGCAGGAAAGGUUCAGAGAGUCGCGAAGAUCAGGCUGGGACUCGUGGCAGAAAAUGGCGACAGCGUCUCGAGGAAAUGAGGAGAGAAAACAGGCCGCCAGACCCACUCACCCUUUGCCAACCAGCUGCCCUGCAAAUGCCACUGGGCACACCUGAGAGAAGGAUGGCAGGGAUUCCACAGGUCCGGGCUGUUCCUGCCUUAACUCAGCUGCGGAGGAAGCCNAACGCCACAGGUCGACAUCCACAGACCCCCAGAAGCCCCCCGGGGGCUGGGGUGUGUGCCAGCCGUCGGUCGACAAGAACACGCGCUGGGGGCUUUUCGGACGCCCCGUGCAGCUCAGUCACGGAGCAGCUUCCUGGAAGGCAAAGCAGCGGAGAGUUUGAUCCCGGAAGGCAGCGGUAAAAAGCGCUUCUGUAUCUGCCAGGAAAACCACAUCACUGGCGUGACCCCGGGUCAACGGUACCGAGUCAGAACAGAACACAGAGACACCUUUGUUUCGCUCCCACGCUCGGGAGAAGUCUCUGAAGUCUGCUAACGAAGGCCAGGUAAGAGAGGAAUGUGACACGAGCGAUGUUUUUAUACGCUGGUGAGAUAUUGCGAAGAGGCAAAAAUUAUGGCUACUCACGGGGAUAAAGUUUCUUACUGUUACUAAGCAGUUGAGCCUUGCUGUUACUUGAAAGCCAGAAAACUGAGUGGAGAAGAGACUGCAGGAUGGGUUGCUCUGCCAUCUUGCUCCCAGNGGUGGCCCCUCCCUUAUCCAAGUGCCACCAGAAAGCUAUGAACCAUCCUUCCUGAUAGGAAUGGAGCAGAGACAGCAGGCUGGGAUCUUUGCCUGUAUUUAUAGUGAUUCAACUGUGAUCCGCUCUGAAAUCUUCAGGUAUAGGGCAGGACAGAAAUAAAUAAAUAAAUAUAAAAUUUCCCUGAAUGAUU